rnacentral:rRNA from 1 species
CGAAGGGGGCUAGCGUUGUUCGGAAUUACUGGGCGUAAAGGGCGCGUAGGCGGCUUCGAUAGUCGGGUGUGAAAUGCCUGGGCUCAACCCAGGAACUGCACUCGAAACUCCGAGGCUAGAGUGUGGGAGAGGAUAGUGGAAUUCCCAGUGUAGAGGUGAAAUUCGUAGAUAUUGGGAAGAACACCGGUGGCGAAGGCGGCUAUCUGGACCACAACUGACGCUGAGGCGCGAAAGCGUGGGGAGCAAACAGGAUUAGAUACCCUGGUAGUCCACGCUGUAAACUAUGUGUGCUUGACGUCAGAGGGCAUAGCCCCCUGGUGUCGGAGCUAACGCGGUAAGCACACCGCCUGGGGAGUACGGUCGCAAGAUUA